rnacentral:rRNA from 1 species
ACGGGUGAGUAAUGUCUGGGAAACUGCCUGAUGAGGGGGAUAACUACUGGAAACGGUAGCUAAUACCGCAUAACGUCGCAAGACCAAANAGGGGGACCUUCGGGCCUCUUGCCAUCGGAUGUGCCCAGAUGGGAUUAGCUAGUAGGUGGGGUAACGGCUCACCUAGGCGACGAUCCCUAGCUGGUCUGAGAGGAUGACCAGCCACACUGGAACUGAGACACGGUCCAGACUCCUACGGGAGGCAGCAUG